UUAUAUAGUAUAUUAUUUUAGUCAUUUUCAUAUAGUAAAGAUUGCUAUCCUUAGUUUUUAUUUAUCUAUCUCUAUACAUAAAUCAGCCUUUGGCUACAUUCUUAACCUUUAACCAUUUGCAUUUAGGUUGUCAGCAAUUCCGAAAUGUGGCCCGCAAUCCUGCUGAGGUAAGAGGUAAUCCAGCCACUGGGAAAACAUUAGAUUGGUGAAGCUGUGAUACAGGGAUUAGGGAAACCUGCGUUCUUCCAAUGCCAGCUGUAGUCCAAGGGCACCAGAAGGCCACAGGUUUCUCACCCUUGUGUGUAAUAGGUUGUCUUCUUGUUCCAAGAUAAUAACUAGUCAUGGGUGAGUGUUGUUUUCUCUGGUAAAGGAUAUACAUCUGACCCCACCUGUCACUUCCUUAAAAAGAAGAUAUUCAAAAUAUUAAAAAAUUGUUUCAGCUUUUCAUCAAAAUCUUUGCAGAUGGCUGGAAUCUUACUGGUGUUCCCAUAAGGUUUGUGUUAACUUGCUGUGGUUAAUCGCAGCAAAUGGAUGAGGUGCUAGGAACACACACCUCAGUUGUGCAUUUAGACAUGUGACCAGGAAUGUGCACUCGCACCUCAUCCAUUAGCCACAAUGAGCUACAGCAAGUCAGGCAAACACUACACACCAAUGAAACAUGGGCUAUUGUUUCUGCUACCGGUUUAAUUUUCAAGUGGCUCUCAGAUUAGUUUAUUUCACCUGUUGAUUUUGUUUUCUUUUUCUUGUAUGACACUAGGGUGAAAGGUCGCUGAGAAAUGCAUUAUGUAAACAAAGGAAAUAAACAAACAAGGAAGCCAAAAGGGACAAAGUCUGUCUGGGUCUGGAAAAAAUCUUCUUGUUAUAUUUUGGGAGGCUUCUUAUACUGUUCUUACGAUAUUCUUUCAUCUUAGGGAAGCGCUCUCUCUCUCUCUCUCUCUCUCUCUCUCUCUCUCUCACACACACACACACACACACACACCCACACACACACACACACACACACCUCUCUCUCNNNNNNNNNNNNNNNNNNNNNNNNNNNNNNNNNNNNNNUGGUGUUUGCAGAGGCAGGAUCAGAGUGCAUAAUUGUGGUGUAGUUUUCAGUGAUUGGAACUCUUUCAUGAGAAAGUGGGUGGCUCUGAAAAGAGCCUUUGGGUUCAUUGGUGCCUC
rnacentral:lncRNA from 1 species